UUCAAAAAAAUAUAUGAAUCAGUCAGGUUGAUAAGGCUUGCUACAAGCCCUGUGAUGCUCUCAACUUUUGAAGAUGGGAAGAUAGUUAGGGGUCUUGCUGGAGUUCCUUCUGAAGGACCAGUCUUGUAUGUUGGCUAUCACAUGUUACUGGGUUUUGAAUUGGCUCCAAUGGUGUCCCAAUUUUUUUUUGAAAGAAAUAUUCUUCUGAGGGGGAUAGCACAUCCUUCCAUGUUUAGGAGAUUGAAAGAAGGGAGGUUACCUCCAAUGUCACAAUAUGACAUAUUCAGGAUAAUGGGUGCAGUGCCUGUUUCAGGAACCCUUUUCUACAAACUUCUGUCUUCCAAGGCUCAUGUGCUGUUGUAUCCAGGAGGCGUGCGUGAGGCCUGUCAUCGGAAGGGUGAAGCAUACAAGUUAUUCUGGCCAGAACAUUCUGAGUUUGUUAGGAUGGCAGCUAGGUUUGGAGCCAAAAUUGUGCCAUUUGGUGUUGUUGGAGAAGAUGACUUUUUUGAAGUAUUUUUUGACUAUGAUGACCAAAUGAAGGUUCCUUUCCUUAGGGAUUACAUAAUAGACAUAGCGAAGGAGUCCAAGAGUGUGAGGACUGAAGAAAAUGGUGAAGUGGGAAACCAAGAUAUGCACCUUCCAGGAGUCCUACCAAAAUUUCCUGGCAGAUUCUAUUAUUAUUUUGGGAAACCAAUUGAAACACAAGGGAGGAAGGAAUUAAAAGACAGAGAGAAAGCUCAUGAA
rnacentral:misc_RNA from 1 species